rnacentral:ncRNA from 1 species
GACACAAAGUUUUGGUCCUAAACUUACUGUUAUUUUUUACCAAAAUUAUACAUGCAAGUAUCUGCACACCAGUGAAAAUGCCCACUAAAAUUAGAUGGAGCAGGUAUCAGGCACGAACCAUCAGCCAAAGACACCUUGUUUUACCACACCCCCACGGGUAAUCAGCAGUAAUAAAAAUUAAGCCAUAAGCGACCAAUAUUCUAUAAAGCUAGACUUAGUUAUGGUUCCAAGGGCCGGUCAACCUCGUGCCAGCCGCCGCGGUUAUACGAAGAGCCCAAGAUAACAGAACACGGCGUAAAUAGUGACUAAAAUAUAAAGCCUCCUAAUAAGAAAAAAACAAAACCCUGAACGUAAAACCAAGGGCUAAAGAAACUACUGUUCUUUAAGAAAGCUAUUUGAUUCACGAAAGUCGGGAAACAAACUAGGAUUAGAUACCCUACUAUGCCCAACUAUAAAUUGACACUACAAACUACUAGUGUUCGCCAGAAUAUUACAGGUGAAAAGCCUAAAACUCAAAAGACUUGGCGGUGCUUUAAAUCAAAUUAGAGGAGCCUGUCCUACAAUCGAUAACCCACGUUAAACCUAACCGUCUUUUGCCAAAAUCAGCCUAUAUACCGCCGUCCCCAACUUACACUGUGAAGAAGAAAUAGUAAGUACAAAAGUCUGACACAAAAAAAUCAGGUCAAGGUGUAGCUAAUAAGACGGCAGAGAUGGGCUACAUUUUUUAAAAUUAAAAUACACGACAAGACACUUUGAAAAAAGUCUCUGAAGGUGGAUUUAAUAGUAAAAUAAGCAAGAAAGCUUAUUUUAAACCUGCUCUGAAGCGCGCACACACCGCCCGUCACCCUCCUCAACAACUACAAUAAAUUCAUAAUUAUAAACCACUAAAAAGAUGAGGCAAGUCGUAACAUGGUAAGCGCACUGGAAAGUGUGCUUAGACAAACAAAAAGUAGCUUAAAAUAAAGCAUUCAACUUACAAUUGAACAAUGUUAAAACCUUUUUGCGCUAAUAUUUUAACCUAACUACCCAAACAAACAUAAACUUAAACAAAACAAACCAUUUGAUAAGCCCAGUAGAGGAGAUCGAAC